rnacentral:ncRNA from 1 species
UGGUCCCGACCUUGAAGUCAAUUGUUACUUAAUAUACACAUGCAAGUCUCCGCCCCCCUGUGAAAACGCCCUUACACCCCAUCUAAUGGAAAAGGAGCCGGUAUCAGGCACAAAAUUAGCCCAAGACACCUAGCCACGCCACACCCACACGGGAUUUCAGCAGUGAUUAACAUUGUACAUAAGCGCUAGCUUGAACCAGUUAAAGUAAACAGAGCCGGCAAAUCUGGUGCCAGCCGCCGCGGUUACACCCUGAGGCUCAAACUGACUUCCCCCGGCGUAAAGCGUGAUUAAAGUCAUACUUUUUCCACAGUUAAAAGAGAAUUAAGCCGUAACACGCGUAUUCUUACGAAACUCAAAAACGAAAGUUACUGUAACACAUGCUUGAACUCACGAUAGCUGGGGGACAAACUGGGAUUAGAUACCCCACUAUGCCCAGCCGUAAACUUUUAUUUACAUUACAACGCCCGGGAACUACGAGCAAAGCUUAAAACCCAAAGGACUUGACGGUACCCCACAUCCACCUAGAGGAGCCUGUCCUAUAAUCGAUAACCCCCGCUUAACCUCACCACUUUUAGCUUAACAGCCUGUAUACCUCCGUCGUCAGCUUACCCCGUGAGCGCUAACUAGUGAGCCCAACUGUCCCACACCAACACGUCAGGUCAAGGUGCAGCAUAUAAAAUGGGAAGAGAUGGGCUACACUAUCUACUCUAGAUAACACGAAAAACUAUUUAUGAAACCUAGUUAGAAGGCGGAUUUAGAAGUAAAGAAAAACCAAAAUGUUUUCUUUAACUAGGCACUGGGGUGUGUACACACCGCCCGGUCACCCUCUUCAAAUUUUCUGCAAAGUUUAUAACAAUUUUUAGCCCCACCCAGAAGAGGCAAGUCGUAACAUGGUAAGUAUACCGGAAGGUGUGCUUGGAAA